UUUUUUUUUUUUUUUUUUUUUUUUUUUUUGGUUUGUUUGUUUGUCUGUUUUUGCCUUUUUCUUGAGCCACUCCCGUGGCAUAUGGAGGUUCCCAGGCUAGGGGUCGAAUUGGAGCUGUAGACACCGGCCUACGCCAGAGCCGCAGCAACGCAGGAUCCAAGCCGUGACUGCGACCUACACCACAGCUCACGGCCACUCCAGAUCCUUAACCCACUGAGCAAGGCCAGGGAUUGAACCCGAAACCUCGUGGUUCCUAGUCAGAUUCGUUAACCACUGAGCCACGACGGGAACUCCUCUGGUUUAUUUCUAACAUUAACUUACAGCAUGUAUUAUCAAAUGCUUCAGAAUCUCAAUUCAUUUUUUUUCAGGUAUCAUUUUUGAUGUAUAGUUAUUAUGAGGCACAUAAAUAUCAUGGUAUUUAUUAUUACCUAUAAUAGUUACUUGUUAGCUAAAAUGUUUAUAUAAUAAUAACUUACCAAAAGCAUAGUGCCAUACUUAUUAGUUAUACCCACAUAAUAAAUAUAUUAAGAUAGUAAAGAAAAAGCACAGGAAUGCCUAAUCAAAACACUGGAUCUUCAGGGAUCACUGGAGAGCUCAGAGAUAAGAAAAAUAGCAAAAUCUAAAUAAAGUAACAGGGAAUUCUUAAAAUCUUUCAAAAUAAAUAUUCAUACAUUUUAUAAGAAAAUAAAUAUACUGGUGGAUUAUUAGAAUGUAUUGUGUUUUGAAGAUUUGUAAUAGUUUUCUUAGUAUUACUUGAUUGAUUAGGGCUGAACUCUCUCUAAUGCUGUUAUCAAUGUCUUCUGUUCCUAGGAAAGGAAUUCUUGCUGUGGAUGUGAAACAUUUCUGGUUCUAUGUAAAAAAAGAAAUGAAUGGAUCAUAGAAACACCUAAACCCACGCAGUUUACUAUCCUCACUAACCCAAGCUUAUAAUUCCACGGUCUUCAUCAACAUGACCUUUCUCUUCAGGGAAAUUCUUGCCAAGGAAGAUAACAGAUGUAGAAAACUUGUAUAUUUCAGGGAUUUCCUACAAAACUCAUUUAAAUUAACAUCAGGCUGAGUGACUUUUUGAUUGCAUCAACCAAAUAUUUCUUUCCUACGACUUUUUGAGCCCACACUCUGAAAAUCUUCCCUUACUUCAUUUAUCAGUCUUUAACCAUUGCAUCAGCAUUUUUGCCUAAUCUGAACAUUGCGCCUGUGUGGAAAGACCCACUUUGAACCAGAUCCACAAACCUCAUAAAUAUCCUGACAUUGCUCUCCCUACUGAGACAGGAUUUCCAAAGUCUUUGUCAAGGUAGUGAUCUGCUUUAGUAAAUAAGAAUGAAUUUAUCUUUGUCAUAUUCGCAUAUCUCAUGGUAUUUUCUGGGAGUUUGUAAUUGACAUGGAUGAAUGUGAACUAUUUGCUUGCUUAUUAACAUCUUGAUUUAAAUUAAACUGUCCUUUUUUCUUAAUAAGUUAUCCCCACCCCUAGUUUUAUUGAGAUAUAAUUAACAUAACUUUUUGACAAGGCCUGCUCCUCAACCCGGGUCCCAAAGUCAGCAGUGCUGCAGAAAUAAGAGGAAAGAGACAAAGAAAUAGAGUGGGAAUCAGGGGCUACAGCCUUCAAGAGGCAAUAGCAACCCUCUGAGCCAACUCAUGGUUUUUAUUUACUAUUUUCUACUUCCUUGUACGUUCAGGGGAUACAUCGGUAUUUUACUUCAAACUUAUUGGAAGCAAGAUAUGCUAGGACAGUCAUUUCUAAGUACAUAAAGUAAUCAUAAAUGUUUUAGCCCUCCCAGGCCAUAAUUUGUUGUUUGCUUCAAGCUGUCUAUGGCCUCUUCCAUAAAUCCCCCAAGGCUCAAGUCCUGAGAAUGUCAGAGCUGAUGGUUUUACAUCAGCAACAUCCGUGCUUCAGCAAUCUUGUUUUCAAGAUGCCAUUUUUUGAUGUUGUUCUCAUUCAUUAUGCCUCAAGGGUCAUGAGAGUCACAAGAAUUUGUAUAGGCUGACCUUCUACAGCCAUUCUAUGGCACCAGUCUUUUCUUUCCAUUCUUUGUCACAUCUCAUAUUCAUGCCUCCAACAACUUUUGUAUGUAUUUAAGGUGUAAAACAUAAUGAUAUAUAUCUAUAAUGAAAUGAUUAUCAUACUAGUUUAGUUAACAUUGAUCACCUCACAGAAUUACAACUUUUUUUUCUUGUCAUGAAAACUUUUAAGAUUGAAUCUCUGAGACUCAUCACUUUCUUUUCAUAGCAGAAUAUGCACUUAAAAUUAACUCCCCAGUAGCAUGACAUGCUUACUAUUAUUUGCAACAUGUAUUUAACACUCAAUCUCUGCACCAUUUUUCACAUCCUUCAAUCCUAAUAUCACUCAUCUUGAACAUUUCUAUGUCAAAAAUGUUACAAUUUUUAAAUUUACUCUCUCUUUCCUGUCUUUGAGAAAGAAAGAUUUUUUUUUUUUUUUGUCUUUCAAGAUUAAUCUUAGAAUUGUACCUCAAUGAAACCCUAAAAAAUUAAUCUUGGAUUUCUACUGUCCGUAUUCAUCUAUAAAUAUCUUCUCUGUUUCUUUCCCUCACUUCUUCCUUUUCACCCUAGGUAUUUUUUUUUUCUGUCUUUUUGACUUUUUAGGGCCACACCCGCAGCAUAUGGAGGUUCCCAGGCUAGGGGUCUGUCUAAUUGGAGCUAUAGGUGCUGGCCUACGCCAGAACCACAGCCACAUCAGAUCUGAGCCGUGUUUGCGACCUUCACCACAGCUCACAGCAACGUCAGAUUCUUAUCCCACUGAGCAAGGCCAGGGAUUAAACCCGCAACCUCAUGGUUCCUAGUUGGAUUUGUUUCCACUGUGCCACGAUGGGAAUUCCCCUCACUCUGUGUAUUAACUCCAUCACUGUCUCUUUAGUUUUCAUAAUGUCCUUAAUGACAUUCUCUUUUACUUUAAAAACAGCCGAAUCUCCUCUGUAAACCCUCCUCCUUCCCAGAUCCUUUUUCUGUUGAAAUUAUUAUUGCUUACUCUUAUUUCAAUAUAUAGAACUGAGAACUGAGGAGUAAAAGAACUACAUAUUUUGUUUCCAUGUCUUUACCAGUGAUUAAUUUUUAAUACUGUACAAUUUGAUUUCAAAUCAUAUCACUCUACCAAAACUGCUUUCAAAGAUAACCGAUGACUUUCUAGUUGCCUAAAUCUAGUUGUGUUUUCUUGGUAGUUCUUUUAAAACAGAACAAACAAACAAACAAACAAAACAGCAACAGAUAAUCAGAGAAAACCACAAAAAGCCCUUGCCCAGCAUUUUCUUAAUGACUUUCUCUCUCUUAGCUGGCAUUCUUAAUUCCAGUUUAAUUUUAGGAAAUAGUAACAUGAUGACCAUUUCAAUGAAGUCAGUAGCAUUUGGUGACUAAUUUAAAAACUCAUUUUUUCCUGGGAAUGUGCAAUAGAAUACUGUCCAAAAUUUUAGCCAAUGUAAGAUUAUACGUGCAAAUGUAUGAAACAUUUUUGUAUGCUGGGGAACACUGUGCCUACCUUCAGUACAUUAAAUGCUCACUUUUAUAUGUUAUUCAGUACUCACAACAAUGUAAAGAUGUAUUCAUUAUCAGUCACAGUUUACAAAAGACAUAGCUAAGUUACAGAGAAGUUAUUUAAUUUGUCCAGACUAUAUAUUAAGUUGAACAUUUAGUCUUCAGAUUCUUCUCAUUUGGCUUCAAGUCUUUACUUAAGCUUUUUUCAUUACACUGCAUAGAUCUAUAGAAAUAAGGUUAAUCAAGGAAUGAACAAUUGUCAUAGCUCAAAAAAUUAUAAAACUCCAUUUUUAUAAUCACACAUUAAAUGAAUGUUAAUCUUGAUGCACGAAAUAUUUUUAAAAUUAAGACAAUUUUGGAGUUCCUGUUAUGGCUCAUUGGGUUCAGAACCAGUGCAGUGUCUAUGAGGAGACAAGUUUGAUCCCUGGCCUCACUCAGUAGGUUACGGAUCUCGUGUUGCUGCAAGCUGUGGUGUAUGUCGCAGAUGUGGCUCAGGUAUGGUGUUGCCCUGGCUGUAGCAUUAGCUUGCAGCUGCAGCUCCCAAGCCUGGGAACUGCCAUAUUCUGCAAGUGCAACAUGUUAAAAAAAAAAUUAAGUACUUUAAGUUCAUAUGCACUCUUGUUUGGUAUGAACAUUUGAAAUAAUUUUACCUCAUGUUUGUGUAUCUAUAAACACAUGACUCAGUAUGAUAUUUAAAGUUAAGGUCAAUCUUUUUCUAUAUAUCAUCAUGAAACAUGUAAUAACUCUCAGCUUUGCCAUUAAGGGCCGCUGGACUUACUAAUGCUUAUGUAAGAUUUUAUUGGAUUGAUGUAGAGUGUAUUAAUGUCAUUAAUAGCUGUAACAAAGGGAACCAAAAAUCCAAUUGCUCAAGCAAGAUAAAAUUAAUUUCUUAGCUGUUUAAAAAUGUAUGUACAUGGGAAUUCCCGUCAUGGCUCAGUGGUUAACAAAUCCGACUAGAAACCAUGAGGUUGCGGGUUCGAUCCCUGCCCUUGCUUGUGGGUUAAGGAUCCGGCGUUACCGUGAGCUGUGGUGUAGGUUGCAGACACGGCUCAGAUCCUGAGUUGCUGUGGCUCUGGUCUAGGCCGGUGGCUACAGCUCCAAUUCCACCCCUAGCCUGGCAACCUCCAUAUGCUGUGGGAGAGGCCCUAGAAAAGACAAAAAAAAAAAAAAA
rnacentral:lncRNA from 1 species